AGAGUUUGAUCCUGGCUCAGGAUGAACGCUAGCUACAGGCUUAACACAUGCAAGUCGAGGGGCAGCGCAGUGUAGCAAUACACGGGCGGCGACCGGCGCACGGGUGCGUAACGCGUAUCCAACCUUCCCGUUACUCCGGGAUAGCCCUCCGAAAGGGGGAUUAAUACCGGAUGGUGUUCAAAUAUCUCAUGUUAUUUGAACUAAAGAUUUAUCGGUAACGGAUGGGGAUGCGUUCCAUUAGCUUGUUGGCGGGGUAACGGCCCACCAAGGCAACGAUGGAUAGGGGUUCUGAGAGGAAGAUCCCCCACACUGGAACUGAGACACGGUCCAGACUCCUACGGGAGGCAGCAGUGAGGAAUACUGGUCAAUGGGCGGAAGCCUGAACCAGCCAAGUAGCGUGAAGGAUGAAGGUUCUAUGGAUUGUAAACUUCUUUUAUACGGGAAUAAUUCCACCCACGUGUGGGUGUUUGUAUGUACCGUAUGAAUAAGCAUCGGCUAACUCCGUGCCAGCAGCCGCGGUAAUACGGAGGAUGCGAGCGUUAUCCGGAUUUAUUGGGUUUAAAGGGAGCGUAGACGGGGGAUUAAGUCAGUUGUGAAAGGCUGUGGCUCAACCUCAGCACUGCAGUUGAUACUGGUUCCCUUGAGUGCGGUUGAGGUAUGUGGAAUUCGUGGUGUAGCGGUGAAAUGCGUAGAUAUCGGGAGGAACACCAGUGGCGAAGGCGGUUUACUGGACCAUUACUGACGCUGAGACACGAAAGCGUGGGGAGCAAACAGGAUUAGAUACCCUGGUAGUCCACGCUGUAAACGAUGAACACUAGGUGUAGGGGAGCAAUCCUCUGUGCCGCAGUUAACACAAUAAGUGUUCCACCUGGGGAGUACGGCCGCAAGGUUGAAACUCAAAGGAAUUGACGGGGGCCCGCACAAGCGGAGGAACAUGUGGUUUAAUUCGAUGAUACGCGAGGAACCUUACCCGGGCUCGAACGGCAGAUGAAUAUGGGAGAGAUUUCAUAGUCUUCGGACAUCUGUCGAGGUGCUGCAUGGUUGUCGUCAGCUCGUGCUGUGAAGUGUCGGCUUAAGUGCCAUAACGAGCGCAACCCUUGCCGUCAGUUGCCAUCAGGUAAUGCUGGGGACUCUGGCGGGACUGCCACCGCAAGGUGUGAGGAAGGGGGGGAUGACGUCAAAUCAGCACGGCCCUUACGUCCGGGGCGACACACGUGUUACAAUGGUGGGUACAGAGGGAAGCUACCUGGCGACAGGAUGCAGAUCUCGAAAACCCAUCCCAGUUCGGAUUGGAGUCUGCAACCCGACUCCAUGAAGUUGGAUUCGCUAGUAAUCGCGCAUCAGCCAUGGCGCGGUGAAUACGUUCCCGGGCCUUGUACACACCGCCCGUCAAG
rnacentral:rRNA from 1 species